rnacentral:rRNA from 1 species
UACGGGGGGAGCAAGCGUUGUUCGGAUUUACUGGGCGUAAAGGGCGCGUAGGCGGUCAGCACAAGUCAGUUGUGAAAUCUCCGGGCUUAACUCGGAAAGGUCAACUGAUACUGUGCGACUAGAGUGCAGAAGGGGCAACUGGAAUUCUCGGUGUAGCGGUGAAAUGCGUAGAUAUCGGGAGGAACACCAGAGGCGAAGGCGGGUUACUGGGCUGAUACUGACGCUGAUGCGCGAAAGCCAGGGGAGCAAACGGG